GAGACAUCUGAGAAUGAAUUACAAACAUAGCAUAAAAGUAAAGAACUAUAAAGUCCACAGAGCUAGAGUCAGGGAGUAACCUUAAAAUUUUUGACUUCCCCCAUGCCAAAGGAAUGCAUGCUAAGUUUGAGAACAAGGUGAGCAUGUGGGCCCCUAAAGUACAAGAUAACUUACUAUAGAGUGCAGUGAGGAACAAUCUGCAAGGUAAGUAAGGUUAUUUUCUGUCAGAUAGUCCAUCUGAAAUCCCUCUAACCAUGUUAUUUCCCUUCUUGUGGUCCUUCAGUAGAUCGUCAACUUAACAUCAAAUACAUGAUGUUUGUUAGGUAUGAUGGAGAUUCUGUAAGGAUCUUUUGAUGAGUUUCAGUUGUGCAUUAUAGAGGCCCACAGACUCUUCAACAGCUGACAAAAACCAUAGCCCCUUCUAUUUCCUCUUCAAAUCAGGAAAUAUCUACUGCAGUAUUGGUAGGCAGGUAGGCUACAAGGCUUUUGAGCAUACUUGCAAUGACAGGAGCCAAGUCCGGAAACCUAGAAAUGAAAGGUAAAGCAGGAGCGUUCUAGGAUAUCUUAUCCAAGGAGGUUGAGAAUUUUUCAGUGUGUGUGCCAUAUUGGGCCUUCAAUCCCUCUUCAAGCAUUUCAGCAAAUCACAUAUGUUCAUGCUGGACAAAACAUUAUCUACCCCUAUUCUUGUUUUUUUUUUCCUUUUUUGGGAAAUUAGCUGGUUUUGUUUAGUUGAGCAAAGAGCUCCUGGAAUGUGCAUUAAUCGUAGUCGGCUGCUACCUCUGCCCCCUGUCCGUCUUUUUUAUUUUCAAAACUUUGCCUAAAUCAACAAUUCUUUAAUAAUGUCAUUGUUUGCCCCACUUACAUUCAUGCAUAACAAAUUGUCAUGUAAAACCUGAUCGCACAUCAAUAUAAAAUGUAAAAUGUUUUUUAAUUUUUAUUUGCUUUUUAUUAAAAAAUAUAUAUAUU